rnacentral:rRNA from 1 species
UACGUAGGGGGCUAGCGUUGUCCGGAAUCAUUGGGCGUAAAGAGCGCGUAGGCGGUCCGAUAAGUCGGCUGUGAAAGUCAGGGGCUCAACCCUUGGAAGCCGGCCGAUACUGUCGGACUAGAGUCCGGAAGAGGCGAGUGGAAUUCCCGGUGUAGCGGUGAAAUGCGCAGAUAUCGGGAGGAACACCAAUGGCGAAGGCAGCUCGCUGGGACGGUACUGACGCUGAGGCGCGAAAGCGUGGGGAGCAAACAGG